CAACAUGGCGGCCGCGGCCUCCGCAGGAAGCCGGGGGGCGGGGAGGCGAGCGACGGGCGGGCAGUGACGGUCCGCCCGCUUGCUUGCCCGGCCGGCCGCGGGGCACCGACUCCCCACCGCGGGGGAGCGCGACACUGCGUGACGUGCCUGCUCACCCCGGGAACCGUGGAGCCCUGGAUCACGAGGGCGUGGGCCGAAGCGCUUCGCUUCCCGCGACGUCCCGAAGCCUCCGAGCUGACAGCCCUUCCAGGAGCUGCCACGACCCACCUGGCUCCUCCUCUACGAGGACACUCAAUGUUUACCAAGAAUGCCAACGCCUGAAGAAGUCAGUCCUCCAGGUCCACCCAGAAUUCUCAGCAUCCUUCGUCCUUAGGUAUUCAUGAUUCAGAACUUGGGUUUAUAAAGGAGAAGAAUCAGGAUUUAAGAAAAUAAAAUUCUUGUCUGCAUGCGAUCUGAAGAAAUAAGCUGUAAGCUGUGUUGUGUUGUUCGGUCUCCAGCACAGUGAAAAACAUCUUGGGAACUGGAAAUGGCACCGCAAACUUUGCUUGAUUGGCUUCAAUAGUUGUAGAUGUGUAAGAGACGUCUUCAUUGACGGGGGAAUGGAGAAAGGAGCAACUCUGCUCCUGAGCUGUGGACUAGUGGCCGGCGCAAUGGAUGCGGGACUAUAAUGAAGUCACCUCUUACGAGCGUGAGCCAGGCGAGCAGUAGCCACUGGCUUUGAUUUUCACUUGUUUAUUCUUGAUAUUAAACACGUUAUGCACUCUCUCAUCAUAAACAGCUUUCUUUAAGAAUGAGGAGUUGACGGAAGCCACACAUGCUGCUCGCAUCCCUUAUCUUUCAUCUCUAAGUGUAUCGCCAACCUCUAUCCUUAAUGUGAUGACUAGUGCUUCCUGAUCAUUAAUGAGAAGCAGUGGUCAGAAUGGGAAAUUCAAUGCCUUUCUACCCUUUGCUCUUCUUCAUCAGAAUUUAGAAAUUCCUCAAUCUUUUCAAUUCUAUUCACCAUUGCCUUCUGCAAUGUCUGAAUCUCCUGUCCAGAAUUAUGUUCC